AACGAACGCUGGCGGCAUGCCUAACACAUGCAAGUCGAACGAAGCCUUCGGGCUUAGUGGCGCACGGGUGCGUAACGCGUGGGAAUCUGCCCUUGGGUUCGGAAUGACAGUUAGAAAUGACUGCUAAUACCGGAUGAUGUCUUCGGACCAAAGAUUUAUCGCCCAAGGAUGAGCCCGCGUAGGAUUAGGUAGUUGGUGGGGUAAUGGCCCACCAAGCCGACGAUCCUUAGCUGGUCUGAGAGGAUGAUCAGCCACACUGGGACUGAGACACGGCCCAGACUCCUACGGGAGGCAGCAGUGGGGAAUAUUGGACAAUAGGCGAAAGCCUGAUCCAGCAAUGCCGCGUGAGUGAUGAAGGCCUUAGGGUUGUAAAGCUCUUUUACCAGGGAUGAUAAUGACAGUACCUGGAGAAUAAGCUCCGGCUAACUCCGUGCCAGCAGCCGCAGUAAAAC
rnacentral:rRNA from 1 species